rnacentral:lncRNA from 1 species
UCGGGUUGGAUAAAAAUUAUGAAUUUUAGUGUAAUAUUUUGUCGGGUUGAGCGGGUUGGCGGUCGGAUUGGACGAUUUAGUGGCCCGACACCCGAACCAAAUGUGGUCGGGUUAGUUAAAUUUCACCCGUUAUUCAUCCGUAGAGUGAGCGGGUUUGAUCGGGUUCGGAUUAGGUCGGAUCGGGUCGGUCGGUUUGGGCGGGUUGGCGGAUAUUUGCACAGCC